rnacentral:rRNA from 1 species
CGAAAGGGUGACGAAGCGACGCCGCGUGUGGGAAGAAGGCCUUCGGGUUGUAAACCACUGUCAGGAGUUAAGAAGUGUAAGGGUGCUAAUAGUACCCUUACUUGACUAAGGCUCCAGAGGAAGCCACGGCUAACUCUGUGCCAGCAGCCGCGGUAAUACAGAGGUGGCAAGCGUUGUUCGGAAUUAUUGGGCGUAAAGAGCACGUAGGCGGUUCUGCAAGUCGGCUGUGAAAGCCUUCCGCUCAACGGAAGAACAGCAGUUGAUACUACAGGACUCGAGUGCGGGAGGGGAGAGUGGAACUUCUGGUGGAGCGGUGAAAUGCGUAGAUAUCAGAAGGAACGCCGGCGGCGAAAGCGACUCUCUGGCCCGUAACUGACGCUGAGUGUGCGAAAGCUAGGGGAGCAAACGGGAUUAGAUACCCCGGUAGUCCUAGCCGU